GACGAACGCUGGCGGCGUGCUUAACACAUGCAAGUCGAACGGUAAGGCCCUUCGGGGUACACGAGUGGCGAACGGGUGAGUAACACGUGGGUGAUCUGCCCUGCACUUCGGGAUAAGCCUGGGAAACUGGGUCUAAUACCGGAUAGGACCAUGGACUUCACGGUUUGUGGUGGAAAGCUUUUGCGGUGUGGGAUGGGCCCGCGGCCUAUCAGCUUGUUGGUGGGGUAAUGGCCUACCAAGGCGACGACGGGUAGCCGGCCUGAGAGGGUGUCCGGCCACACUGGGACUGAGAUACGGCCCAGACUCCUACGGGAGGCAGCAGCGGGGAAUAUUGCACAAUGGGCGCAAGCCUGAUGCAGCGACGCCGCGUGAGGGAUGAUGGCCUCGGUUGUAACU
rnacentral:rRNA from 1 species